rnacentral:rRNA from 1 species
UACGUAGGGCGCAAGCGUUGUCCGGAAUUAUUGGGCGUAAAGAGCUCGUAGGCGGCCUGUUGCGUCCGCUGUGAAAUCCCGGGGCUCAACCCCGGGCCUGCAGUGGAUACGGGCUGGCUAGAGGCAGGCAGGGGAGAACGGAAUUCCUGGUGUAGCGGUGAAAUGCGCAGAUAUCAGGAGGAACACCGGUGGCGAAGGCAGGUCUCUGGGCCACUACUGACGCUGAGAAGCGAAAGCAUGGGGAGCGAACAGG